ACAGAAACACCAAAAUCUCACUUACCAAAAUGAACGAUGGAAAACGAAAAUCCUAAUAUGCAAAGAUUUGGCGAUAGUUUGAACAGGAUAGGAGGAGAUGGCAAAAAGAAGAAAAGAACGAAAAUACGAAGAAAAGAAAAUUUUGAAAAAAAAAACCAAAUAAACAAUUUGAUUACAAUUCCAACUCCCCACUAACAACUCAACCUCAACUACCUCAGAAUUUUAAGACCACUCAAACACUCUCAGCCAACCGAAACAAAAAUUAACACCCUCACUCUCGUAGGGAUUCGAACACAAGAGAUCUAGC
rnacentral:lncRNA from 1 species